GAAAAUUCUCAUAGUUAUAAACUGGUGGGCUCCUAUUAUCUUGAUCUUUCAUCAUUGAUCAUUAAUCAUCGUCUCCCCCCUACUACUUUUCAAAGGCUCUCUCUCUCUCUGCAGGCCCGUAGGCCACGGCAGAAAGCUCAGCAAAUUAAGCUCCUUCUGUUUAAUUUUCAAAUCUUUGUCACACCCACCAAACUUGCAGCCAAACCUAUACUAAUAAAGUAGAUUUUUGCUACAUGUGGAGAGACACACGUAGCUCAUUCCACAGUCCAGUUCUUUGAAUUGCUUUCUUUUAAACGAUCUUUCAUUCUUAUACUUUUCAUCAAAUGAAUGUUCCAUCCAUGGAGAUCAAAGGUAGAGACAUAAUCAAAUGACAUCAAGAAGACAGAGCAGCAUAGAGAUCCUAAUUGAGCAGGGGAUUUCUCAUGCAGCUGCAUGCAUCUUUAGCUAAUUUAUAGCUAUUUACAUGGAUACCGUGUUUUCGCUUCUCAUCAAUGAAGCAGACCGUGCCGGCUAUCUUCGAUCGCUGAUGCAGUCUUUUGGCUGCAAUUACAUUUGUGUUUGGUUCGACAUGCCUCAACCAAACCACCAUUUAUACUUUCUGGAUGGAUAUUACCACGAAGAAAACAAUCAACCAGGCUCUUCGUCGGGAAGCUUAGCUCGGAGGCUUUUUGAUGAAUAUCGGCAAGAAAACUUCUUGCCUGUAAAUAACCGUGUUCCCGGAAUGGCUUUCGUAAAUAAUCAACCCUAUAGAGAGUUAAGUGAAUCUGAACUUCAAAGAAUGGCAUCUGUUACUGUGCAGCAGCGAUUCUAUCAGGAAGCGAGGAUCAAGACUGCAGUGUUCAUGGGGUGCAGAAAUGGGGAGAUUGAAAUGGGCUGGUCCAGUGGGAUGACUCAAAUUAACAUGGAAAACGCGAUCAGGAGUUUGUUUUCAGAAGACAUUCCUCAUCAGCAAUCUCCACUGAGAGAACUUUCGCAAGCGAUUGAUCCAAACAGGCCUUCAUCAUCUUCCUCCUCGUUGAGAUCACUAUCCAUGGAUAGCCCAGAUAGCUCUCCUUUUUUGUUUAAUAUUCCAAUUACAUCUCAUUUUUCAGAAAUCCCUCAAGAGACUCCCUCAUUGCAACCAAUUCAAAGCACAUCAAGUGCGAUCCAACGAGUCUUGCAAUCUUUGCAGCAAGUAAAAAAUACAACUAACCCACUUCGACAAACCAUGCAAUUGCAGCCAGCACAAAGCUCAACUAUCCCACUACAACCAGCCGUGCCAUCUUUGCAGCCUAUGCCGAGCCCAACUAGAUCCCACCAAGCAGCCUUGCAAGCAUUUGCCUUGACAAGAAACGUUCAUUUACCAUCCCAAGAGAGUGAAGAUGCUGCAAUGACAAGAGCCAUUCUGGCAGUUCUAACUUCUCCUUCAUCUUCUACUUCUUCAAUAACCCCUAACCCACCUUCCAAUUACCGGGAAAACCAAAGAACUAGUGCUUUCAAGAAUUAUCUGACCCCCACAAGACCAAUGAGCCAAAGUUUACGCAAGCAAAGUAUGCUUAAAAGGGCAAUCACUUAUUACAGAAGCUUAAAUAUUGCGAGACGGGAACAUAUGGUGGCAAGUCGUCCUACAAGCACUCAGUUGCACCACAUGAUAUCAGAGCGCAGAAGGCGUGAAAAGAUCAAUGAAAGCUUUGAAGCAUUGAGAAAACUUCUCCCUCCAGAAGCCAAGAAAGACAAAGCAUCAGUGCUUACUCGAACAAGGGAUUAUUUAACCUCGUUGAAAGCUCAAAUCGACGAGCUUAGCAAGAGAAACCAGCAAUUAGAGGCACAAAUAAAGCAACUACCGGAGAAAGAAGUUGCACAAGAUGCCUUUCAGUCCUCAUCAAAUGAAAGAGUUGAAGUCCAGGUAACAAAUAUCUCUGAAUCAACAUCAGAAGAACAAAGAAUCAUCGACCUUCGAGUUGUACUAAGAGGAGAAUAUCCUAUUCAAGAUAUGGUGAUUCGGAUUCUGGAGUUCUUAAACCAAGUUAAUAACGUGAACGCGAUGUCUUUAGAAGCCAACACGCGUACAACAGAAUCAAGAUCCUUGAAUCUUGUAGCCUUGAGACUGAAAAUUGAGGGAGAAGAAUGGGACGAGUCUGCCUUCCAGGAAGCAGUAAAAAGGGUUGUUUCUGGCCUGGCACAGUGACACAAUUGGGACCCCUACUUUCCAGCUUAUUCAUUCUUGAAAUAUUAGAUCUCAGAUCAAAUGUAGAAGUCUAACUAAAUUCUUGUCUGGUGGCGGCGCCGCCACUUCUUACUCUCCAUAUCCUAGGCUAUUAGGGCAAGGCUGGACCCUAAAGAAAAAAUGCAGGUCAAAAGCUAAUCAGUUCAUUCUUAAGCAGACCGACCCAAUACCGUAGACUCUAGUCUGAAAAAGUGGGGCAGGCCAGAUCUCAUAUGAGUACGGGUCUAACAGGAGGUGAUCCAGCUCGGUGAUGUGAUGUGAGGGAGAAUAGCUGGUCCAGUUACUUUGCACCCCUACCUGCAUGCGCGCCAAGAGAAAUUAAAUGGCCGUCUAGCGUGGAAAUAGGGUCUGACGCUUUCGUACAUACGAAUCUGAAUGACAGAGACAAGUGGUACUGUAAUAGAGAUGCGAUUAGACGUCACUAGCAGAUAAAAGGAAAAGAGAUAAAAGAUAAGGCAUAUCUCAUUCUCUAAUUAAGCUCACAC